GAUGAACGCUGGCGGCGUGCCUAAUACAUGCAAGCCGAGCGAACGGACGAGAAGCUUGCUUCUCUGAUGUUAGCGGCGGACGGGUGAGUAACACGUGGAUAACCUACCUAUAAGACUGGGAUAACUUCGGGAAACCGGAGCUAAUACCGGAUAAUAUUUUGAACCGCAUGGUUCAAAAGUGAAAGACGGUCUUGCUGUCACUUAUAGAUGGAUCCGCGCUGCAUUAGCUAGUUGGUAAGGUAACGGCUUACCAAGGCAACGAUGCAUAGCCGACCUGAGAGGGUGAUCGGCCACACUGGAACUGAGACACGGUCCAGACUCCUACGGGAGGCAGCAGUAGGGAAUCUUCCGCAAUGGGCGAAAGCCUGACGGAGCAACGCCGCGUGAGUGAUGAAGGUCUUCGGAUCGUAAAACUCUGUUAUUAGGGAAGAACAAAUGUGUAAGUAACUGUGCACAUCUUGACGGUACCUAAUCAGAAAGCCACGGCUAACUACGUG
rnacentral:rRNA from 1 species